UGGGAACCAACGCGAGUGAGCACUUGUAAAACUGUUUUUGAAGAGUGAAGUUAUGAAGAGGUGCUGCAGUGUCAAACAUCUGUUUCAUCCAUUACACUCAAAUGGCAGCAGCGGCUGUACAGUAGGGCAAGAGCCGCCAAUAAAUUAAAAGCCUCUCGUGGCCACGUUCUCCUCACUCUCUUGAGCUGCCCGGCUCUUGUGCCAGUUUGAAUCAUGGAAGGAAGAUGCUAAAUAAAGGUUGGACAUCAUGUACUGCUUACCAUCGCUGUGCGACAUUCCUGCUGCUGUGGGAACGGAGCUGCACCCCUGCUGCCAUGCUCGUUCAGGUCCAGUGGCAGAGAGAUGCUCAAAAGCAGAAACCACUGAAGAGGAUGAAAAGAAACAGAGUGGUUCUGUGUAAAGCUCUACCCUUGAUCCUGGCUGGAGUCUGGACCUACACUCACAAACACAAAUUAAAAAAGAAUGAGAAACAUCAUUUAGCCUCCUUGUUUUUAAAAGUUUCAGAUUUAUUUUGCAAUAAAUUUUGGAUGCAGGCUUUAAGAAUUCUGUUCCUGUGACAAGGGCAGCUGUGUUUCAGCAAAGAAACUGCAAUGAGUCACCGAUUUUCUUUCUCUCUCAUUUUUGUUUUCCUUAAUCCAAGAAAGAAAAUAAUAAUCUAGACUGAAAAAUAUCAGCUUUGCUCUUUGUGGAUGGGAAAGGCAGAAAAGUUCUGUUCCCAGAUCUUGCAACAGACUUGGUGUGUGAACAAGACGCUCCACUUCAGCCACCGCAUCGUAUUGCGUCCAGCUCUCAGCGCACAGCUCUGCUCACGGCUGGCCUGAGAUUCCUUCUUAUUUCCAGAACAAAAAGGACUCUACAUUUUGUUUCAGUGCUUUUUUUCCAAUUUUUUUUUUUUUUUUCCUACAUAGAUUAUUCCUUUUGUUACCAUAGAGUUCAGGCUCCCACCUGCAGUGGGGAAGGACACUCUCCAGAGAUGCUCUCCAAGCUACAUUGUCUAUGUCCAACACUGGAAACUUCUGGGCCAACUGAUGCUUGCUCCUCAUCACAGCACACUAAUUCAACAUCAGCUUGUGCUUGUAACGCACUUGUAGUUUUGUGGAGAGAAGCAAAAAUACUUGUCGUGUUUCAUUUCCACUUCCUGCAAAAUUCUUGGAAAAUGUGUUUUGUCAUUCUUCAUUGUAAAAUCAUCAAAUGGGUUUAAUUCUGUUUGUAUUGCUUUUGUGAAACAGAAAAAAAAAAAAAAAAAAAAAAAAAAAAAGAAGAAGAAGAAAAAAAGCCAACUGAAAACAAAACCACAUUCUCUUCAUAGUAUUAAUUUGGUUUGGUAUAAAAUCAGUUUUUGCCAAGGAAAAUGCAUUCCUCUUAGCAAAGACAUGCCGUGGUCUCUAUUGUACACACGAAGGCAUUGAGGUCAGAGGGUAAAUUUCUCUUAGUUGCAGCCUAUUUCCAUGGGCUGAGUAUCACACGAUUAGCAGUGUUUGGCCACUGCUGAGAGAGACUGGAGAGAAAGGAAGGUCAGGUGGAUGUCUUGGGAGAAAAUCAGAGAGAAUUGCUAUAAAAUAUGUGCAGUUAAGUGAGAAAAUCAGCAUCUGCUAGCUGUUUGUUUUCAUUUCAUUUUUGGGGGGAAUUGGAGGAAAUGUUAUGAACACAUUGUUUUGGGUUUUAUAAUUCUGAAGGGAGAAAGCGAUGAGGAAGAAGGUGGGAGCUUGGGGAACGUGGACAGGAGACGAACACUGACAGCAGAAGCCAUAACAGCAAUACUAUUUUUUUGUGAUGAUUUCAAUCCCAAGGAAGAUAAAUUAGGUAAAGAGAGAAAGAAACCACCUUGCCAGGUUCUUAUUGGCCAGUUGUGAAGACCUUCCACCAAAAGCUCCUCCAGAUUCCUGGUGUAAGAUAGGAAUUGCCAUGGCCACCAUAGGGCAGCAGGGACUUCCCCACUCAUGCUUCUAUAGAAGCAGCAACUCAGGAGCAGAACUUCUUCACUUUCUCUUCUUACAGAGAUACAAGGGUAUCAAUGGGUUCCCCACGGCCUAUUUCAGAGUGGUUCCUUAUAACCAGGUGAGACUGAGAAUCUCUUCAAACCUGUAGGAACUCCAAGAAAGCAGGAGAUGUGCUCAGACAACACGCAGUUUUGAUAUUGCCUUUGGUAUUUAUCUAUUGUCCUCCAGGGGAUGCUGGGAGCCCCUCCGUGCAGCAGACCACCAUCCAGUGCAAUAAAUAAAUGCAGGGGAGGACA
rnacentral:lncRNA from 1 species